UUUGUUCUUUUGUGUUGCUAUUGAGUUGUUUGAGUUUUUAUGUAUUUUGGAUAUUAACACCUUGUCAAAUGUAAUUUUCAAAUAUUUUCAUCCAUUCUGUAGGUUGCCUUUUUGUUUUGUAGAUGGUUUCCUUUUACUGUCCAGAAGUACGUUCGUUUGAUGUACAGGCAUACCCUGGAGAGAUUGAUUGCACGUUCAGUUCCAGACCACCGCACUAAGCAAAUACCUGAAUAAAACUGGUCUUAAUGGGUUUUUUGGUUUGCUAGUGCUUAUAAGUACUCAGAAGUGAAAUUGCUGGACUAUAUGGUAGUUCUACUUUUAAAUUUUUUGUGGAACCAUAUUAUUUUUCAUAGUGACUACCAAUUUGCAGCAAGGUUCUCUUUUCUCCACAUCUUUGUCAGUGGUUGUUAUUUCUUGUCUUUGUGAUCAUGUUUACACUAUGUUAUAGUCUAGUAAGUCUUAAAAAAGCAGUAUAUCUACUUUAAUUAAAAAACACUUGCUAAGAAAUGCUAACCAUCAUCUGACAAUUCAAGGUUGUUAUAGUCUAGUAAGUCUUAAAAAAGCAAUAUAUCUACUUUAAUUAAAAGGCGCUUGCUAAGAAAUGCUAACCAUCAUCUGACAAUGCAAGGUUUCCCCCAGCCUUCAAAUCUGUAAAAAGUGCAGUAUUGGUGAAGCACAGUAAAGGGAAGUACAAUAAAACAAGGUUGCUUGUGGUCCAAAAUAAACUCAUUUUGCUCUUAAUUGACUCUGCUUUUAGAAUCAGAUACAAAAAGACAUCACAAAGACUUAUGUCAAGGAGCUUAUUGCCUGUUUUUCUUCCUCUGGGAGUUUAUUAUUUCAGGUUCUUAAGUCUAAUCUAUUUUGACUUAACUUUUGUCUAUGGUAUAAGAUGUCCAGUUUCUUUUUCAUGUGCCUGUCUCAUUUUCCUAGUGCCAUUUAUUAAGGAGACUGCCCUAUUCCCAUUGUAUAUUUUUUGACUCUUUUGUUGUAAACUAAUUGACCAUGUAUGUGUGGGUUUAUUUCUCAGCUUUUUAUUCUAUUCCAUUGAUCUAUGUAUCUUUUUAUGCCAGUACCACACUGCAUUCAUUACUAUAGAUUUGUAGGAUAGUUUAAAAUCAGAGUGUGUGAGGCCUCUAGGUUUGUUCUUUUUUCUCAAAAUUGCUUUGGUUAUAUUGGGGGUCUUUUGUGAUUUCAUACAAAUUUUAGGGUUGUCCCAUUACUGUGAAAAAAUACUGUUGGAAUUUUGAUAGGAACUGCAUUAAAUCUGUAGAUCACUAUGGUGUUGUUAUGGACAUUUUAACAGUAUUAUUUCUUCCAAUCUGUUAUCACAAGAUAACCUUCCCAUUUAUUUGUCGUCUUCAAUUUCUUUCAUCGGUGUCUUGUAGUGUUCAGUGUACAAAUCUUUCACCUUGGUUAAAUUUAUUGCUAGGUAUUUUCUUUUUCAUGCAGUUAUAUAAAUGGUUUUUUUGAAUUUCUCUUUCUGAUAGUUUGUUAUUAGUGUAUUGAAAUGUAACAGAUUUUUGUAUAUUCAUUUUAUAUCCUACACUUCCUGAAUUUAUUAGUUCUAACAGUUCCUGAGAGUGUCUCUUUAGAUCUUUUGAAGUAUCCCAGACCAGAAGCCUACCUCUCAGGCCAAAGCUCCAGGACAAACAAAUAGACCUUUUUCUCAGAAGGACUGGGGGUGUUUCUGUCUACUGUCUGUUCCGUGCCAUGCACUGGUAGUUUGCCAAGAACUGUCUCUCUGAUUGUUAGUUACAGCGCCAUCUGACCCAGGAGUGCAAGCCCCCGGGCCUUCAGGGACUGGCAAUCAAGUGGUGUCCCCUAGGUGGCAGUGACAAAAAUCAGGACUCCAGCAGAGGGAGAGCAUGAAGGUAGCACUUGUUCAGAAGAAAGAGGAAAGAGAAAAAAUGGUGAAAAUGGUGUCUCUGUCCCUGAAGAUUAACCAAGAAAGCAAAUGAUGAUGGACUAGCAGACAAGGAAGAAAGAAGAAUAAAGAGAUAUGGCUCAUGGACUCCAAAUCACAAAGUGCUGAGGCAUGGCACUGUGGCAAUAACAGAAAGCCCCAGUUCUUCCCCAUCAACAUCAAAAUGAGAGCUGUGUAACCUGAGGCCUGCCCUUGGCUUGUACCAUACAGGCAGGCUUUCAUCCUAACCGGAGGCCCACCUUCAGCAUGUACCGUUCAGAAAUCAGAGCAAGAAACCCCUAAAUCUGCUGGAGAGGUCAAUGAAGACUUCAUGAAAGAAGUUCUGUGUCACUUGAACUUCACAAAUGAAUUCAAGUUUGGCAAGUGAACAACUUGAAAGAACAUUCCAGGCCCUGGCAACCUUCAUUCUACUCUGUGUUUCCUCAAAUUUGACUAGUCUGGGUACCUCAUACAGGAACAACCCAGUCAGAUAGGGGAGGCUGAGGUUUCUCUUUCACUGUGGCUGCAGGGGUAUCUGGAAGCAGCUCCUAAGCACUGGCCAUCCUUUCUCUGAAUAGCACCCUGACAACCACCCUGAAUGGGUCUUUUCCAAAACUUAAGGAAGUAGAAAUCCAGGAUUACUUAGCCCUGGCUAGCUUCUUUCUGCUCCAUGUUUCUACACAUUUGACUUGUCCGGAUACCUCAUGUGGAGUGUCAGGUGGCAGAAACUGUGUCUAUACUAUUUCUCUGCAUAUUAGCACUUACUUCUAGAAUAUGCUAGUCACUUUAUAAUUAUCCUUUAAAUAAAGGUCUGAUGCCUUAUCAUGUGUUGAAUAAGGAAGUUCAUAAUUUCUUAAAGUCUCCUAGGUGUGUCAUCUUAUUCUGUAGUGAUAAUGAAAUUCAGAUAUCUGUGUAGGUAUAGAAAUAUAUGAGUUUCUAAUUGAUAGGUCACUUAUCCAGCUUCCCACACAUUUCUCACUAUAAUUAGACAUUCUAAAUAAAGAAGGCAGAAUUAUUCUUAUUGAAAAUACAAAAUAAAGCACAACAAACAGGAACC